rnacentral:lncRNA from 1 species
AAAUCUGUUGAUUUUUUUAAAUUAUUUUUAUCGGAAACGAUUCUUGUGAGAUAUUAAAUAUGAGAUAGUUUGUGAGAUAUUUACAAUCUCACAGUUGAUUAAGAAUCCAUCGGUUGUAUUAUAUGUUUGUUUUUUAAUUGAUUUAUAGUACAGAUCUCGAUAUUUUUCAGUGGAUGGAUGAGAUUUAAUUAUCUCAAACUAUUUCAUGUUUAAUAUCUCAUCUGAAUCUCCUCCUAUUGUUAUCUUCCUUUGCAUGUUUCUUUAUUAGAAGAAUCUAAGCAAUCAUAGUAUGUAUAAUUGAAUAUAAAUAAACAUUGAUAACAUGCUUACAUGAACAACUAUUUUUCAGUGGAUGGAUGAGAUUUAAUUAUCUCAAACUAUUAUCUGAAUCUCCUCCUAUUGUUAUCUUCCUUUGCAUGUUUCUUUAUUAGAAGAAUCUAAGCAAUCAUAGUAUGUAUAAUUGAAUAUAAAUAAACAUUGAUAACAUGCUUACAUGAACAACAGUAAUCUAAAAUUCCAUGCUUACAUGGCUGAUUUAUUUCAUGUUUAAUAUCUCAUCUGAAUCUCCUCCUAUUGUUAUCUUCCUUUGCAUGUUUCUUUAUUAGAAGAAUCUAAGCAAUCAUAGUAUGUAUAAUUGAAUAUAAAUAAACAUUGAUAACAUGCAAAUAGUGGAUGGAUGAGAUUUAAUUAUCUCAAACUAUUUCAUGUUUAAUAUCUCAUCUGAAUCUCCUCCUAUUGUUAUCUUCCUUUGCAUGUUUCUUUAUUAGAAGAAUCUAAGCAAUCAUAGUAUGUAUAAUUGAAUAUAAAUAAACAUUGAUAACAUGCUUACAUGAACAACAGUAAUCUAAAAUUCCAUGCUUACAUGGCUGAUUUCAUUUUUUGCUAUAUGAUUAAUGAUAUUUUUUGUUAAUUUGAAAAACAACUUUAUUUAUUUGAUACUCCCUAAAUUUUCAUUAAUCUAAAUUUUUCUUUUUAUAUUGAUUACAUUUGAUUACAUUUGUCUGCUUGUAUCG